rnacentral:RNase_P_RNA from 2 species
AAGGCGGGUCGGGCAAUCGCGGGGGAGAAAUUCCCUCGAGGAAGGUCCGGACUCCACAGGGCAGGAUAGCGGCUAACGGCCGUCCGGCGGCGCUUUCGGGCGUCGCCGAGGAACAGGGCCACAGAGACGAGUCUGCGGGGCGGGCGCGCAUCGCGCGCACAGGUACGGCCAUCUCCGUAUCGCGCCGGCCGGCGACGGCGGGCGGCAUCGCAGGGUGAAACGCGGCAACCUCUAUCCGGAGCAACAUCAAAUAGGCAUGCGCACGGCCUUCGGGCCGGAAAGGGCGGCUCGUCCGAGCAUGCGGGUAGAUGGCUACAGCGGCUCAGCAAUGAUCCGCGCAGAGGAAUGAUUGCCCGCCGGGGAAACCCGGCGUACAGAAUCCGGCCUAUAGACCCGUCUUGUCA